AGCAGCCGCGGUAAUUCCAGCUCCAAUAGCGUAUAUUAAAGUUGUUGCAGUUAAAAAGCUCGUAGUUGAAUUUCGGGGUUAGUAGAUUGGUCGUGCCACUGGUAUGCACUGGUCUUACUGAUUCCUCCUUCCUGAUGAACCGUAAUGCCAUUAAUUUGGUGUUGCGGGGAGACUGGACUGUUACUUUGAAAAAAUUAGAGUGUUUAAAGCAGGCUAACGCUUGAAUACAUUAGCAUGGAAUAAUGAAAUAGGACGUUCGAUCCUAUUUUGUUGGUUUCUAGGAUUGACGUAAUGAUUAAUAGGGAUAGUUGGGGGCAUUAGUAUUCAAUUGUCAGAGGUGAAAUUCUUGGAUUUAUUGAAGACUAACUACUGCGAAAGCAUUUGCCAAGGAUGUUUUCAUUAAUCAAGAACGAAAGUUAGGGGAUCGAAGACGAUCAGAUACCGUCGUAGUCUUAACCAUAAACUAUGCCGACUAGGGACCGGAUGAUGUUAAUUUUUAAUGACUCAUUCGGCGCCUUAC
rnacentral:rRNA from 1 species